AUCUCGGCUCACUGCAACCUGCGCCCCCUGGGUUCCAGCAAAUCUUGUGCCUCAACAUUCUGAGUAGCUGGGAUUACAGGCAGUCUCACUUUGUCGCCCAGGCUGG